GUGGCUUUUUGGUGUUUAAACUGUAGCCGGCGCACCCAUUACUGGUGGUAGGAACACUUGUGAGUCCGCACGGGUAGGUACCACCGCCCUGCCUAUUUCUGCCGUGAAGCAGUAAUGCGUUUCGGUUUGAAGGGUGGGGCAGCCGUUAUAAUUAUACUGAGACCGUCGAACUUAUAUCUCAAGUCUAUACUUGAUCUAUGGUUAACUAUUUAACCAUAACCCAAAACAAAGUUAAUAAAUAAGUUUGCUCAAUCAAUGCAGACAUACUGUGAGACCUCCUCAUCUUUAGCUGCUUCGAAAGUCACGCUUACGGCUACAAAGUACACAUGAGACUUUCAUCAUCAUCAUCAUCAUCAUUAUCCUACCCUUCUCCCAGUUACCUGGGGUCGGCGCAACAUGUUAUCUCCUUCCAUACUCCUCUAUCAUACACCAUUUCUUCGCUCACUCCCCUCUUACCCAUAUCGUCUUUCACACAAUCCAUCCAUUUCUUCUUAGGUCUACCCCUUCCUCUAUAUCCUUCCACAUUCAUAGUUAACAUUUUCUUACCGACCUCAUUUUCAUUUUGUCUCAUCACAUGUCCAUACCAUCCCAAACGCGCACUUCUCAGCUUCUCUGUCACAGGUGACACUUUCAGACUUGCUCUAACAUAUUCAUUCCGUAUUCUAUCCAUUCUCGUUACUCCACACAUCCAUCGCAACAUUCGCAUCUCUGCUGCAUGCAAUCCCCUUUCAUCCUCUCAGGCUUUAACCUCAACAAAUUUAAAAAAACAGGCAAUUUAACUGACAUACCUCCGGGACGCUCUUCCUAAAUAUCUGUAUGUCUGAUAGCGUGGUCUUGAUAUUAUAUCCGAAUCCCAUGAGGUCAGCGUCAUCGUUUCGCUUCAUCACCCCCCUCUUU